rnacentral:misc_RNA from 1 species
GAUGAAGAACGCAGCGAAAUGCGAUAAGUAAUGUGAAUUGCAGAAUUCAGUGAAUCAUCGAAUCUUUGAACGCAUCUUGCGCUCCUUGGUAUUCUGAGGAGCAUGCCUGUUUGAGUGUCAUUUCAACCCUCAAGCACAGCUUGGUCUUGGGCUUCGCCGCUAACCCGGCGGGUCUUAAAAUCAGUGGCGGUGCCGUCGGGCCCUGAGCGCAGUAAUCUCUCUCGCUAUAGGGUCCCGGCGGAUGCUGGCCAGUAACCCCCAAUUUUCUAUGGUUGACCUCGGAUCAGGUAGGGAUACCCGCUGAACUUAAGCAUAUCAAUAAGCGGAGGA